GUGAAAGUUUGCAGCUCAACUGUAAAAUUGCCUUUGAAACUGGUAGUCUUGAAUUAUUAUGAAGUGGUUAGAAUAAGUAGUGUAGCGGUGAAAUGCAUAGAUAUUACUUAGAAUACCAAUUGCGAAGGCAGAUCACUAAUAAUAUAUUGACGCUGAGGGACGAAAGCGUGGGGAGCGAACAGGAUUAGAUACCCUGGUAGUCCACGCCGUAAACGAUGGAUACUAGCUGUUCGGAUUUAUCUGAGUGGCUAAGCGAAAGUGAUAAGUAUCCCACCUGGGGAGUACGUUCGCAAGAAUGAAACUCAAAGGAAUUGACGGGGGCCCGCACAAGUGGUGGAGCAUGUGGUUUAAUUCGAUGA
rnacentral:rRNA from 1 species